AACCAUAAGGGGACAUAAGCUAAAACACUAAUCAUCUAUGGGUAACCCUACUAUCCCACACUCAAAUAUAUUGAGUUAAAUUUGAAAAAUGAGAUUGUCAUAAUGAGCAAAAAGAGAAUAAAUUGAAUGCACGCGAAGAAGGAAAAACUAGAACCAACAAGGUAGGUAUGUUUACAAAUUCGUGAGAGAUAGAAACUUAACUUAAUUUCUCAUUCAGUUGAACAAGCUACCAAACCUAAAAGAAUUUGAUAUUUAUGUUAAAACACGAAACCCCAAC
rnacentral:lncRNA from 1 species